GACGAACGCUGGCGGCGUGCCUAACACAUGCAAGUCGAGCGGAGAUGAUGUGAGGAAGUUUUCGGAUGGAAUCACAUUAUUUUAGCGGCGGACGGGUGAGUAACGCGUGAGCGACCAACCUUGCACAGGGGGAUAACGGACCGAAAGGUUCACUAAUACCGCAUGAGACCACGGUGUUGCAUGACACAGGGGUCUAAGGAGCAAUCCGGUGCAAGACGGGCUCGCGUCCGAUUAGGUAGUUGGAGGGGUAACGGCCCACCAAGCCUAUGAUCGGUAGCCGACCUGAGAGGGUGAUCGGCCACAUUGGAACUGAGAUACGGUCCAAACUCCUACGGGAGGCAGCAGUGGGGAAUAUUGGGCAAUGGGGGAAACCCUGACCCAGCAACGCCGCGUGAAGGAAGAAGGUUUUCGGAUUGUAAACUUCUGUCCUUGGUGAAGAGAAGAAGACGGUAGCCAAGGAGGAAGCCCCGGCUAACUACGUGCCAGCCGCCGCCGUAA
rnacentral:rRNA from 1 species